rnacentral:lncRNA from 1 species
ACUCUCCUUCCACUGACCAUUGAAAAUGGGGGAAGAAAAAAGAAUUAUUGAUCAAAUUUGGAUCUCUGUGUGCUGUCCUCCAAUUUAAUACUUUCUGUGUUGCUGUUUUAUUUUCUUUCUUCUGGAACCUGGCAAAGUGCGUCAAGCGAUGAGGCUUCCUCUUUGAAGAUCACAGGUGAGAAGAUUAGGUGCUUUCUCAGAAGCCCAGCAACCUGAUGGGAGUGUGGAGUGAGCAAGACCCAAAUCGGAGCUUCAUCCCUGCAUGGUUCAUUUUGCUUAUUUGGCAAACUUGCCCUGCAGAAUCUACUCAAGCUUCCUCAGUUUCUCAAAUCAUUCUUGGGCAACAAAUGAACAAGAAAGAGGACGUCUUAUUAUCUGGUGUCUGGCUUGCUGAUUUAAUAACCUAGGAGACAGUGUUUGAAGAACACAAACUCUAAAGUCCUUCACUUAAAAAAAAAAAAAAACUUUCCCAAAUUGCUUACCAUUUGGAAAAAUUGCCUUACCUUCUUCAGUCAUCUCUGAUGUUGUCAUCCUCAGAGUAAGAAGUACGCAUUCAUAAGGAACCAUAACGUCCUUCAGGAAAUCCAGUACACCCUACAAUUUUACCUAAAACUUUGAUGUUGUUUUUUCUGAGCAUUUUACCUUCUAGGGAAAUGGAUCUCAUGCUGUUUAUCAGUUUCUGAAAGUUGUUAUUAAUCUCCCCUCAUCCCAAAAUUGAAGAACUUUGCUUAAAUCUUAGAAUCAGAACUUUGGCUCCAGUAAUAAAGACUUUUCAAUA